CAAAGACAUUCCCUUUGAAGCUACGAGAAGAAGAAGAUGGGGGAAAAAUCCUCUGUCUCCUGCACGUUUUGUUUACAUCUGAGAGCAAGUCCCCCCAAACCACUGCCAGAUUCCAGGACAAAACCAGGACAGCAAACUCUCAAGAUUACCUUCUUCACUUCCCACCCCAGCUGUAAACUCUCUGAGGCCUUCUUGCCCCCACCCUGGAAGAAAUGACCGUUCUCCGCAUCCUGCCAGGAAGUGACAUGAACAAGUGGACUCCUCACCACACAUCCCACUACACGGUUAGUGGUCUGCCCCCUCUGCCAACCCUAGAGACCAACUC